rnacentral:rRNA from 1 species
AAGAGUUUGAUCAUAGCUCAGGAUGAACGCUGGCGGCGUGGAUAAGGCAUGCAAGUCGAACGAAUUAUUUUUAAUUUCAGAUGAGAUUAUAUCAAGUCAAAAAAUUUUUAAUGAUUAGUGGCAAACGAGGUAGUAACACGUGGGAAUCUCCCCCGAAGUCGUUAAUAACCCCGCGAAAGCGGGACUAAUGCGCGAUAUAUCUCCGGAUGAAAGGAGCAAUCCGCUUCGGGAAGAGCCUGCGAAGUAUCAGCUAGUUGGCAGUGUAAUAGACUACCAAGGCUAUGACGCUUAGGGGAGGUGAGAGCCUGACCCCCACCGAUGGGACUGAGACACGGCCCAUACACCUACGGGUGGCUGCAGUCAAGAACAUUCCACAAUGGGCGAAAGCCUGAUGGAGCGACGCCGCGUGAUGGAUGAAGUCCUUAGGGACGUAAACAUCUUUUGUGAGGGAAGAAACCGCCGUAAGGCGGAUUUGACGGUACCUCAAGAAUAAGGGGCUCCCAACUCUGUGCCAGCAGGAGCGGUAAGACAGAGGCCUCGAGCGUUAUCCGGAAUUAUUGGGCGUAAAGGGUGCGUAGGCGGUUCGCCACAUCUCUGAUUAAAGCCCAAGGCUUAACCUUGGAAAAACCAGAGAGAUGAGUGGACUAGAGACAGUGAAAGGUUUAUGGAACUCACGGUGUAGGGGUGAAAUCCGUUGAUAUCGUGGGGAACACCAAAGGCGAAGGCAAUAAACUGGCACUGUUCUGACGCUGAGGCACGAAAGCGUGGGGAUCAAAAAGGAUUAGAUACCCUUGUAGUCCACGCCCUAAACUAUCCUCUCUCGCUUUUCGGAGUAUCGACCCUCUGAGAGGCUAAGCUAACGCGUUAAGAGAGGCGCCUGGGAAGUACGGCCGCAAGGCUAAAACUCAAAUGAAUAGACGGGGACUCGCACAAGCCGUGGAUUAUGUGGUUCAAUUCGACGGUAACCGAAGAACCUUACCAGGGCUAGAAAUCCUAACGAACCUCGACAGAAACGUCGGGGGUCCGCAAGGACGGUAGGACAGGUGCUGCAUGGCCGUCGUCAGUUCGUGGUUUGAAUUGUUCCCUUAAGUGGGGUAACGAACGCAACCCUCGUCGUGUGUUACAAGUGUCACGCGAGACUGCCCCCGCCAAAGAACAUAAGUGAUUCCUCUGGGGAGAGGUGCAUUUGUGAAUUUUGGCGGGGGAGGAAGGGGAGGAUGACGCCAGGUCAGCAUGGCCCUCUGAUGCCCUGGGCUACACACAUAAUACAAUGGUCGUUACAGAAGGAUGCGAAGGAGUAAUCCGGAGCCAACCCCUAAAAACGACCUCAGUUCGGAUUGAGGUCUGCAACUCGACCUCAUGAAGUCGGAAUGGCUAGUAAUCGCAGGUCAGCAAACUGCGGUGAAUACGUUCUCGAGUCUUGUACUCACCGCCCGUCAUUUCAAGGGAGCCGGGAAUACCCGAAGCCCCCCGAUUAAAAUCAGGGGAUCACGGUAAGUUCGGUGACAGGGAAAAAGUCGUAACAAGGCACGGCUAGCGGAAGCUG